UCCCCGAUUUCCGGGGCAGUCUCCUUAGAGUUCCCGGCAUUACCCGCUGGCAACUAAGGAUAGGGGUUGCGCUCGUUGCGCCACUUAAGGCAACACCUCACGGCACGAGCUGACGACAGCCAUGCACCACCUGUGCAGGCUCCGAAGAGCACCCGCUUUCACGGGUUUCACCCUGCAUGUCAAGCCCAGGUAAGGUUCUUCGCGUCGCAUCGAAUUAAACCACAUGCUCCGCUGCUUGUGCGGGUCCCCGUCAAUUCCUUUGAGUUUUAGCCUUGCGACCGUACUUCCCAGGCGGUCCACUUAGCACUUUUGCUUCGACCGAAAAACCGUCAGAGGUACUUCGAUCUAGUGGACAUCGUUUAGGGCCAGGACUAC
rnacentral:misc_RNA from 1 species